CGCUCAUUUUUUUCGCGCGCGAAUUCUCUCUCACGGGUUCUCUCUCUGAAAAAAGGGCUCUCGGGAUUCUCUCUUUGGGGGCUCUCCCAGACGCUCUCGCUCACGGAUUCUCUCUCGAUCCUCCCUCUCUCUAUAACUACUUGAUGGAGCUUCCAUGGUGGAUCUGGAAACCCUAAUCCUUCUCCUCCGUUUCCAUCGUCACAUCUUUUCGGUUCCCGUCGUCGGACUUGUUGUCUGGAAUUAGAGAGUGGCUAGUUUUCGUUUUCAAUCCUCCUCCGGAUCUUCUCGAGCCCCAGAAGACAAAGCAACUACCGGCUAAGGAACUCAAGGAGCGGGGUUCAGAUCCGAAGCCAAUUGGCGAUGGUGGCGACAGAGGUGGUGAUGACGGCAGUGAUGACAGCGGCUCCCAAUCUGUGGCUCGAUGCGGCUCUCCGUCGGAUCCGACUCUUUCUCUGCGAAUCACCCUCUUUGGCUCUCGGGAUAUAGCUCUUUCUAGGAGACCUGCCUCAUCUCUCGCCAUUUUCGGAUAUAGAAGACGAAGCAUAGCGAUCGGCGAUUGUGAUCGGAGGAUUCAUCCAUCGUUCAAAAUCCACGACGCCGGAGUUUAACUUCUCAGAUCUGACACUUUUUCUGAAAUCAUCAGCUCGGGUACCAUUGCAGUUGCUAGAGUGUCAUUGUCUCUAACGAGUUCUCUCUAUGAUUCCAUCGUCAUUCAAGGGCCUUCGUUGUUUUUCUUCAAGGGCUACAAGUGUUCGAAUAGUAUCGAGGCGAGCAACGGAGGCAAAAGUUUCAAUAUAGUUGAUACCUAGUUGUUGCAAGUAUCUUUUCGCCACAAGCCUUGCUUUAUGCUUCUGGAUUGAUCCAUCCGCGUUGAGCUUCGUCUUGUAAACCCACUUGAUGCCAAUGAUCUCUGUCUUCGAGUUGAUCAACAAGCUCCCAAGUUUCAUUUUUCUCGAUCAUCUUGAUCUCUUCCUCCAUGGCUUUUAUCCAGACUUCUUCUUUGGAUGCUUGUUCGUAGUUUUUUGGUUCCAAAAUAGCAAAGUUGCAUGUGUCGUAAAUUCUUCUAAGGGCUUUUACCCUUAGUAUCGGAGACUCUGGAGUAGAUUCUUCUUGCGUCACUCUUGGAGAGCUUGGUGGAGUUAUGUCAUGAGUGGUGGAAUUCGGUACUUCUCCUUCUUCUUGUGACGUUGACUCCUCUUAAGCAGGUGGUAUGUCUGGCAAGGCGAUGUACUUCUUCUUGAUCUUUUCAUCCUCCCAAUUCCAGGCAACAUUCUCGUCGAACUCGACGUCUCGACUAAUCAUAAGCUUUUUAGUUCUUAGGUUGCAAACCGACAGCAUUUUGAUUGGUCACUUUAGCCAAGGAAUAUUCCCUUUUCUGUCUUUUCAUCUAGCUUACUCCUUUUUUGAGUAGGGAUGUGGACAUAGCAUAUGCAUCCGAAUACCUUGAGGUGCUUUGCUGAAGGCUUUUGUCCACUCCAUGCUUCGACUGGAGUUUUAUUUUGGAUUGCUUUAGUUGGAUAGUUGUUUAAGAUGUAUACAGGCUUCUGCCAAGAACGAGUUAGGAAGUCCUUUUUCCUUUAGCAUA